CGCUCCCUUGCUGUAGCUUGGCUCUGUAACAUUGAACUGGUUCUGAUGGGACCUCGUCUUCCUGUAGGUGCAGUCCCCAGCACAGCAAGUGUUUCCUUCUGAUCUGGGCCCUGAAGCGCUGCUGUAGGAAUGCGUAAUCCUGAUGGAUCAUUCCAGGUGAAUAAAACGUCUAGUUCCCCAGGCCUCCUACGUACUGAAUAACAAUUGACUACACUGACUGCUUCAAAUUUGAAAUGUGUAUUGAUCUCCUGCCUACUCCUCCCAACCAUGACGUCUGCUUGUACUAGGUUAUUUUGUUUACCAGUCCUGUAUUGGGUUGCAGGAAUUACCAUACUGGGUGAGACCAGUAGUUUGUCUAGUCUGGUAUCCUGUCUCUGACUGUGGCCAAUACCUGAAGCUUCAGAGAAAAGUUAAAAAACUCACACAAUGGACAAUUCUGCAAUAACUUUCUCCUAGGGAGGUUUCCUGCUAACUCCAAGCAGUUAGACCCAGAUCCACAAAGGUAUUUAGGCUCCUAACUUCCAUUGUGGAUCUGGACCUUAGUGACUGGCUUACAUCUUGAAGCAUGAUGAGGGAUUGUAUUCCUUAUAUACCUUUAUCCUAGCUAGUGUAACUGCACAAAAUAAAUCUGGAGCUUCACUGGUCAUUUUUUAUUUGUAGUGUGGUAGUAUCUAAAGACGACAGCCCCAUCGUGCUGUAUAAACAUAACAAAGAGACGGUACCUACCCCAAAGAGCUUACAGACUAAUAAAAGGAGAGAAUAGAUGGCUACUCUCUGAUUUCAUAAUUACAUUGUAAGCUCUGCAAAGUAGGCACAAGAUAACAGUGAGAUGAUACUAGUCAGACUACAUAAGCAGCAGUCACAGCACCCCACCUGCGUAACCAUUAUCAAAAAUUUUGUAGGCAUCAUGGUAUAGGAGAGUUUUAAGAAGAGAUUUGAAGGAGGAAAAUGUGGUGGCUUUGUGGAUAUUUACAGGGAGCUCCUCACAUGGAUAAGGGGUAGCAUGGGAGAAAGCAGAAGAUGCUUGCUGGAAAUUUUUAUAAAUGGGCAUUCAAGACAGACUGACAUAUUUUGCAGAAUAGAGGCAGGGUUCAAUAUCUUGAUACAGUAUAAGAGACAACAAGUAGGCUUUGAAGAGCCUUAAAAGUGAAGACAAGAAAAUACUCUUUGCAGUAGCAUUUUGAAGGGAUAUAAAUGAGACAAGGUGGGAUUUGUCAAGGCCAGAAAGGAAGAGGUUGGAGUAGUUGGGAUGAGAGAUGAUGAGGGUCUGGAUAAGAGUUUAGCUAUGGGAAUGGAGAAGAAAGACCAGAUUUUAGAGAUGUUCUGGAGGAAGAAGCAGCAAAAUACAGCCUGGAUAUGUGGUCCGAGAGAGAGGACUGAUACAAAAGCACAAGAUGUCAAAUGCACUCUUCCCUACAGAUAGCUAUGAUGGAGAGAGAAGAAAUAGCAUCAGUAUCUUUCUUGUUCUCUUUGGGAGAAGGGAAGAGGGAAUGAUUUCUGUUAUUCUCUUUUAUUUUGGAUGUCUGCAGAAAAUGUUCUGAGCUGUUCCAGUACAUUCUGUCAAUGAAUACUGGUAGUAUUCACAAGAGAGGGUUCUUUCAUUUUAGAGAACCAUUAAGAAACCCAAAACAUUACGUUAAGAUUUUCUUAUUUUUUACUUGUACGUGUUGCUGCAUCUGAACUUUCCAACCACCAGUGUUGACCUCCCACACACCCGGGUCUUUGCCGCUUGUGAGUUAUACAAUAAUUUUAACUUUUGGUACAAUGUGUAUGUUUUCUGUGGGUUAUAAUGUGGUCCCUGAGAGCCAGGCACCCAAGCACAAUGGCAGGAAGCUGUCUGAGGCAUAAUACCUCUUGGAAGCGGAGGAGGGGGAACAGUAUACUGGGCAUCAGUAGUUGCUGCAACAUGCAAAAACUACUUUAGAAUAAUUCAGCCUACAGCAUUGCCUUCUCUAGAUUACUGCACUGCAGACAAUGCAGUUCAACCUCUUCUCUUGUGCUUCCAGGGUGAAAUUCAUCCUUGGUCACAAGGCCAGCACAAGGAGUAGGUACCACUUAAACCCCUCUUUAAUCCUGAUAUGGGCCUUCUACAAUGGGAUCAAUUUUGCAUCCAGAGUACAGAAAUAUUAUGGCUUACACAGAUAUAGAGCUUCCCUCAGUGGUGCUUGGGUAUCUGGUAUUAUGCCAACCUCAUGUGCAGAGGUGCUUAGGCACACCUGUACAAAGGCAGCCAUACUGUAAUUGGUGCUUUGAUACCAUGGUGAUAGACAUCUUUUAAAAACCUGAGAUAGACAGAGAUAAUUUAGCAUUAUAUAGGCAUCCAUCAUCUCUGAGAAGUGUUAAGCCCAUUUCUGCAGAGUCUGUAGGAUCCUGCUGAGAAUCUCCAUUGUCCUGCUCAUCAAGAAGCUGCAAACUCAGCAUGGGCUUUGCACCUCUUAGGGAUGUACACAUACAUCUUUUGUAAAUAAGCAGUUAUGGUUGUUUCAUUAAACCUCUAAUAACAUCUUUAUUUCAUUUUCCUUCCAAACAUGUUUACUUCAGCCACAACACAAUAUUUAUUGUGUUGUCUUGAAUGCAAGAGGCUAUUCUGUCAGAUUUACGACUAUUAUAAAAUUUGAUUCUAUCUGCAUACAAGUGGAUGCUAGGAACCUUACAGACAUUUCCGCUAUCAUUACUGAAUAAAGAAAGCAAUAAAGAAUCUAAUAUUUACCGUUGGGGAACACCUGCAGAUCUUUAAUUAAAACCAGAUUAUAUACUUAUCAAUUAGAUGUUAUAAAAGCAAACACUUUGCAGAUUCACAUAAAUUCUCAAAAUCUUAUUAAAAAGUGACUGAAUUAAAGGCUUCACUUAAAUUCCUAAUUCACCUUGCAUCUCAGUACUUCAAACCCUCCAUGUGUGAAAUUCCUAUGGGCCUUCCAGGAUCAGUGCAGCCAUCUGGAGGGAGAAGCAAGGUAGUAUUACAGUAUCAGAGUGAAGUUGAUGGAUUUCCACUCCAUACGGCUAAAUGCAGUGCCUAAGGUGCCACGGGAUUCUUUGCUGCUUUUAAGGUAGUAUUACAGUGUGUUCUGCUGCCCAUUUUACUGCCCAGGGUUUUGAGAGGGAUUAGAGCCUAACUUCCCCCCCAGAGCCUUUCAGGUGAUGCCCUCAAACCCAUCAUGUGAGGUCAGAAACCAAUCUGUCUUCGGGAUGUAAUGAAUCUUGCACAAUUUCCAGUGUGCUUUCUUCUUCCCAUGGGUCUUUUCUAAAGGAGGGAACAAUUUGGCUCCAAGAAAACAAAAUGAUGCCCAAAUUAUGAAUCACACGAGUAAAGGCCCAUUCAGGGAAGCCCUCUGCACCUGGAGCUCCCACUGGCUUUGCUGAAUGAUGAGGAUGUGGCAAUGGUCAUUAAGGAAAUGAUUAUAAAAUAAAUCAAGUGGUGUCAAAUCACGUUGGGCCAAAUUCAGAGGUGAUGUUACAUGUUGGUAAGUAGAUAAGGGAGGCUAACCAGCUGCACUCCCAUCAGAAACCACAGUGUUGCUGUCUGUCCUCCCCACGGUUGAAUAACUUCUCCAUCACAAUGGCAUAUAAUUUGCUCAAUCCCAGAGUGGCUGUAGUGAUGAAUCAUGGAUUUGGGAUUUUUAUAACUUUCUUUUGAGAGUUGGGUCUUAUCCUCUAGCUUCAGUGAGCAUUGUAGUUACAUAAGGAAGACAGGGUCAUGCCCAAAAUCUGUUACUUGCUUCUUUGGGCAAAUCGUAGCACUUGACUUGGAAAGCCUCCUCAUACACCUCUACCUCUAUGUAAUCCUGUCCUCGGGAGCCAAAAAAUCUUACAGCGUUAUAGGUGAACCCACCUUAUAUCAAACUUCCUUUGAUCCACCGGAGUGCGCCUCUCCCCCGCCCCCCGGAGCGCUGCUUUACUGCAUUAUAUCCAAAUUCAUGUAUCGGGUAGCAUUAUAUCGGGGUAGAGGUGUAUCUAGUACCUGACUUCAAGAGUCUGGGCAUUGCAGAAUACCAACAUAUGGAUUAUUUUAAAUUUUAAUUUUUCCCACACAACAUACAUUAGACACUUGUGUAGUAUUUCCAAGAUGUAAAAACUGCUUACUUAUAGCAUACUAAUUCCAUAGAAGACAUAUUCAGCAAUUCUCAUGUACUGCCACUAGAGGUAGGACAACCUGCCAGAAUGAAUAGCAAAGAAAAAUGUUCCGUUUGAAGCUCUGACAAUAUUAAUAUGAGAUCCUUCAGAUGGUGUUUUUGAUAUGUCUCUUUUAAGGCCUGAUUCUACAAUCUUUAUUCAUGUUGUGUAGCAUUUAUGUCUUUGAAACUAGUGUGACUAUUUGUGGGAUGAAAUCAGGGCCGGCUUUAGGAAGUGCAGGGCCCAAUUCGAACACUUUCAGCGGGGGCCUGGCAGGGAUGACUUAAAAAGAAAAAAGUGUAAAAAAAAAAAAAGCCUUCCAUUUCUUCCAUGUAUUAUUUACUUUCCAUAACUAUAUAAAUAAUAAAAUUGUAUAUUAUGUACAUUGCAUCAUA